rnacentral:tRNA from 1 species
CAGAGAAUAGUUUAAUUAAAAUAAUAAUUUUGGAGAUUAUAGAUGAAAUAUUAUUUCUUCUCUGA